rnacentral:rRNA from 1 species
GAUGAACGCUGGCGGCGUGCCUAAUACAUGCAAGUCGAGCGAACGGACGAGAAGCUUGCUUCUCUGAUGUUAGCGGCGGACGGGUGAGUAACACGUGGAUAACCUACCUAUAAGACUGGGAUAACUUCGGGAAACCGGAGCUAAUACCGGAUAAUAUUUUGAACCGCAUGGUUCAAAAGUGAAAGACGGUCUUGCUGUCACUUAUAGAUGGAUCCGCGCUGCAUUAGCUAGUUGGUAAGGUAACGGCUUCCCAAGGCAACGAUGCAUAGCCGACCUGAGAGGGUGAUCGGCCACACUGGAACUGAGACACGGUCCAGACUCCUACGGGAGGCAGCAGUAGGGAAUCUUCCGCAAUGGGCGAAAGCCUGACGGAGCAACGCCGGGUGAGUGAUGAAGGUCUUCGGAUCGUAAAACGCUGUUAUUAGGGAAGAACAUAUGUGUAAGUAACUGUGCACAUCUUGACGGUACCUAAUCAGAAAGCCACGGCUAACUACGUG